rnacentral:rRNA from 1 species
UACGUAGGGUGCAAGCGUUGUCCGGAAUUAUUGGGCGUAAAGAGCUCGUAGGCGGUUUGUCGCGUCUGCUGUGAAAACUGGAGGCUCAACCUCCAGCCUGCAGUGGGUACGGGCAGACUAGAGUGCGGUAGGGGAGACUGGAAUUCCUGGUGUAGCGGUGAAAUGCGCAGAUAUCAGGAGGAACACCGGUGGCGAAGGCGGGUCUCUGGGCCGUAACUGACGCUGAGGAGCGAAAGCAUGGGGAGCGAACAGG